rnacentral:misc_RNA from 1 species
GCCGGACGGCUACACGAUCCUGCUGACGGGUCGCUCUCUCACCGCCGCGCCCUUCCUCAACGCGAACGUGACCUUCGAUCCGGUGAAAUCGUUUGCGCACACCGCGCAGCUCGUGACCUAUCAGUUCGUGCUGGUCGUCCACCCGAGCGUCGGCGUGAAGACCGUUUCGGAUUUCAUCGCCGCCGCACGCGCGACGCCCGGCAAGAUCAGUUACGCCGCGGCGCAGGGCGGCUUGAUGCCUUACAUCGCGGCGGUCCUGUUCAGAGCGUCGACGAAGGUCGACAUGCUCGAAGUACCGUACAAGACGGCCGGGCAGAUUUACAGCGAUCUUCUUACCGGCCAGGUUCAUGCCUACUUCGCGCCGCUCCCUCCGUCGCUGCC